rnacentral:misc_RNA from 1 species
AUUCCCAAAAUCUCAAUAGCGAUAGUGGUUUAUCUGUUGGAACCCCAAAGGUUGGAGUGAAAGACGAUUCCAAAUUUUCGCAUUCUCCUUUCAAUUGUGACAAUAAGAGUUUUUACUCGUCUGUGUGCCCAACAGGCCGGAUAUCGUUCAAGCUUUAUGAUUGGAAUCCUGCAGAAUUCCCUAGAAGGCUUCGACACCAAAUUUUUGAAUGGUUGGCCAGUAUGCCAGUUGAAUUGGAGGGAUAUAUUCGCCCUGGUUGUACAAUCUUGACUGCAUUUCUUUCAAUGCCAACGGUUAUGUGGGCAAAGUUAUUGGAAGACCCUGUAUCAUACGUGCACGAUUUUGUUAUCACUCCUGGAAAAAUGCUGUCCAAGAGGAGCC